rnacentral:rRNA from 1 species
CUCGUAGGUGGCCAACUAAGUCGGACGUGAAAUCCCUCGGCUUAACCGGGGAACUGCGUCCGAUACUGGUUGGCUUGAGUUUGGGAGAGGGAUGCGGAAUUCCAGGUGUAGCGGUGAAAUGCGUAGAUAUCUGGAGGAACACCGGUGGCGAAGGCGGCAUCCUGGACCAAUACUGACGCUGAGGAGCGAAAGCCAGGGGGAGCAAACG